ACGUAGGGUGCGAGCGUUAAUCGGAAUUACUGGGCGUAAAGCGUGCGUAGGCGGUUUUGUAAGACAGCUGUGAAAUCCCCGGGCUCAACCUGGGAACUGCGGUUGUGACUGCAAGACUGGAGUACGGCAGAGGGGGGUGGAAUUCCUGGUGUAGCAGUGAAAUGCGUAGAUAUCAGGAGGAACACCGAUGGCGAAGGCAGCCCCCUGGGCCUGUACUGACGCUCAAGCACGAAAGCGUGGGGAGCAAACAG
rnacentral:rRNA from 1 species